rnacentral:rRNA from 1 species
CGGGGUGCAGCAGGCGCGAAAACUUUACAAUGCUGGCAACAGCGAUAAGGGGACCUUGAGUGCCAGGAUACAAUCCUGGCUGUCGUGAUGCCUAAAAAGCAUUAUAUAGCAAGGGCCGGGCAAGACCGGUGCCAGCCGCCGCGGUAACACCGGCGGCUCGAGUGGUAACCGCUAUUAUUGGGUCUAAAGGGUCUGUAGCCGGCUUGGUUAGUCUCUUAGGAAAUCCGGCAGCUUAACUGUCGGGCUUUCAGGAGAUACUGCCAGGCUCGAGACCGGGAGAGGUGAGAGGUACUUCAUGGGUAGGGGUGAAAUCUUGUAAUCCUUGAAGGACCACCAGUGGCGAAGGCGUCUCACCAGAACGGAUCUGACGGCAAGGGACGAAAGCUAGGGGCACGAACCGGAUUAGAUACCCGGGUAGUCCUAGCCGUAAACGAUACUCGCUAGGUGUCGGCCACGGUGCGACCGUGGUCGGUGCCGUAGGGAAGCCGUGAAGCGAGCCACCUGGGAAGUACGGCCGCAAGGCUGAAACUUAAAGGAAUUGGCGGGGGAGCACAAGGGCGAUUGCG